UUGUAAGCUAUGGAAGGAACAGUCAGCUGUGAGUGAUGCACUCACAUGGUAUAACCACUGGGAAACAGAGGGAGACAUGGACUGACAAUGAUCCUGAAAGCUUUCCAGACUGGGUACAGUCUCACACAGCUGUGGUGAUAAACACCAUAUUUCACCAUAAAAGAGUGCCAAGAGACUGCCAGAGGCCAGCAACCUUUGACUGAAGAGAGUUUGUUAAAAGAGCUAAAUGUCAGUGAAAAUGUGCUGUUAAUCCUACUCAUCAACAAAUGUUAACCACAAAGUGAUAAUAAAGAGAAAAAAGAAAAGACCUGGCUCCAAUCAGGAUUAUGCUGGAGCUGACAAUGUCACCCAGGAAGCCGUUGUCAUCCCCUACCAAGAGACAAGAGCCCUGCCUGCAGAAGGAAAUGAGCAAAAGGCUCCGGAUAGACAGCUUGACACAAUGUCACCAGAAAGGUGGUGCUGGCUUGGUGAUAAACAGCACAGAUACUUCUUUUAGAAAAAGUAGAAGAAAGACCCAACCUUCUGAAAGA